ensembl:lncRNA SPATA8 spermatogenesis associated 8
AGUUGCGUCCGUUGGGGCUUCUGGGGCAGCCCACAGGGUUCCGAGCAUGUGCUGGCAGUUGCUCUUUGGAGCACCCACUUCACUUCUCCCAUGUAGUUCCUGAGUGCAGGACUCUCCUGAAGAAGGGGCGUCUAAAAGGCCAGCCCAUGCAUCUUGUUCAGACCAGGCUGCUCCAUCUCCGCUAAGCCCAGGGAUCCACUUGUGUGUCUUUCUGGGAUAAUUGUCUUUAGUGGCAGCCUGGGCCUCGGGGAAGGAAGGGCAUGAGGAAUGGCCCCGGCUGGGAUGUCAGGGGCCCAGGACAACUCCUGUCUCUACCAGGAAAUUGCCCCCUCUUUUCAGAGGCUGCCUUGUCCUAGAACCUCGUCGCGACAUUUCUCAGAAGCCAUGACAUGUCCCUGCGGCUGGAGGCCUUUCAAGGGUGGCCCAGGAGGCCUCAAGGGCCCGGUGUGGCCUGCAAAGGAAGAGAACAGCUGUUCUCACGGAAGGAUCCAAAGGGUUCAAAGGCGAAGGGUGCCAUCUGCUUCCCCACUGAUUCAGAAGAUAAACAGGAGAAGUGUCCUGUUUCACCCAUAUUGCUGGUCCUGAUUUUUCAAUAGUGUCCCUACCCUGAAGCUCUUCCAUUGGUCAUCAUGGAGUUAGCUAACAGCCCAGGGAACUGGUCUCUUUUCCCUUUUCCCUUACCACCUGGAACUCACCUGGAAAGGGCAAUCAGCUGGCUCUAUAUCAGACGCCACCACCUGGUCUUUGAAGUUUCUGUCCUACCAGUGCCACAGCUCCCUCUCCCACUUCUGAACUACCUCCAAGAGAGACCAUCCUCAGCAGCCUAGUAUGUUAUGCUAGUCCUGGAAUGGUGUAUUCUGGAUGUCUACUCAAGGCCAAACCCCAGUAUUGCCUUUCGUUUCCCUAUUCAAGGCCAAGGCUAGAUUCUCUUCAUUGUCUCCAUUUCUCUUUCUCCAGAGCUCCUAUAGGGCAAGACACUGUUUCUCAUAUAUUUCUGGAUCCUUGGAGCUUAGCUCGGAGCUUGGCAUACAUGCCCAGCAUGAACUUUUCUGAAUAAAAUAAUUUCAAAUGCUGUAUACAGGA